UACGUAGGGGGGCAAGCGUUGUCCGGAAUCAUUGGGCGUAAAGCGCGUGUAGGCGGCUCGAUAAGUCUGCUGUGAAAGUCCAGGGCUCAACCCCUGGGGAUGCCGGUGGAUACUGUCGAGCUCGAGUCCGGAAGAGGCGAGUGGAAUUCCUGGUGUAGCGGUGAAAUGCGCAGAUAUCAGGAGGAACACCGAUGGCGAAGGCAGCUCGCUGGGACGUGGACUGACGCUGGAGGCAUGAAAGCGUGGGGAGCAAACAGG
rnacentral:rRNA from 1 species